GCAAGUCGAGGGGUAACGGAAGUAGCUUGCUACUAGACGACGACCGGCGCACGGGUGAGUAACGCGUAUGUAAUCUGCCUUGUACAGAGGGAUAGCCCAGAGAAAUUUGGAUUAAUACCUCAUAGUAUUACCGAAUCGCAUGAUUUGGUAAUUAAAGCUCCGGCGGUACAAGAUGAACAUGCGUGACAUUAGCUAGUUGGUAAGGUAACGGCUUACCAAGGCUACGAUGUCUAGGGGUUCUGAGAGGAUGAUCCCCCACACUGGUACUGAGACACGGACCAGACUCCUACGGGAGGCAGCAGUGAGGAAUAUUGGUCAAUGGACGCAAGUCUGAACCAGCCAUCCCGCGUGAAGGAUGACUGCCCUAUGGGUUGUAAACUUCUUUUAUAUGCAAAUAAACCUACUUUCGUGAAAGUAGCUGAAGGUAGCAUAUGAAUAAACACCGGCUAACUCCGUGCCAGCAGCCGCGGUAAUACGGAGGGUGUAAGCGUUAUCCGGAUUUAUUGGG
rnacentral:rRNA from 1 species